CGCAUGGUUCAAUAGUGAAAGACGGUUUUGCUGUCACUUAUAGAUGGAUCCGCGCCGCAUUAGCUAGUUGGUAAGGUAACGGCUUACCAAGGCAACGAUGCGUAGCCGACCUGAGAGGGUGAUCGGCCACACUGGAACUGAGACACGGUCCAGACUCCUACGGGAGGCAGCAGUAGGGAAUCUUCCGCAAUGGGCGAAAGCCUGACGGAGCAACGCCGCGUGAGUGAUGAAGGUCUUCGGAUCGUAAAACUCUGUUAUUAGGGAAGAACAAAUGUGUAAGUAACUAUGCACGUCUUGACGGUACCUAAUCAGAAAGCCACGGCUAACUACGUGCCAGCAGCCGCGGUAAUACGUAGGUGGCAAGCGUUAUCCGGAAUUAUUGGGCGUAAAGCGCGCGUAGGCGGUUUUUUAAGUCUGAUGUGAAAGCCCACGGCUCAACCGUGGAGGGUCAUUGGAAACUGGAAAACUUGAGUGCAGAAGAGGAAAGUGGAAUUCCAUGUGUAGCGGUGAAAUGCGCAGAGAUAUGGAGGAACACCAGUGGCGAAGGCGACUUUCUGGUCUGUAACUGACGCUGAUGUGCGAAAGCGUGGGGAUCAAACAGGAUUAGAUACCCUGGUAGUCCACGCCGUAAACGAUGAGUGCUAAGUGUUA
rnacentral:rRNA from 1 species